rnacentral:misc_RNA from 1 species
AGCUGAGCUACGGCCCCUAAAUCAGGAUAAAGCGUUUAAAACGAUCAAAAGAGGGAUUACAAAAUCUAUAUAACUCAAAGCGAUAUGAUUGAACCGAUAGUUUCAUAUAGGCAUUGACGUCUAUGAGCAUUUGGAAUUUAUAUCAACCAAAUGGACGCUGUAAAAAUCACUUUGCAAGGAAUUUUGACUCCUUAGUAUUUAGCAUUUGAACUGUUUUUUUGCCAUUAAUUUGCUUUAACUUUGGAUUACUCACACAAAAGCAAUAAGCCUGCCAAUUUUGAUAAGCUUUUUAGAAGCAAUCUUUUUAGAAGCAAUCUUUUUAGAAGUACUUAUUUUUUAAAAGCACUUAUGAAAGUAAUGGAUAAACUGGUGGGCCUGGGAGGACUUGAACCUCCGACCUCACGCUUAUCAAGCGCGCGCUCUAACCAACUGAGCUACAAGCCCUCCGGGAUAAACCGGAAAACCUUCCCCGGCAUCCUCUUAUAAAACGCUUAAAUUUUAUCAAGGAAAGCGUUUUUCAAAGCCCACGGUGGACUUGUUUU